AGUCGAACGAGAUCUUCGGAUCUAGUGGCGCACGGGUGCGUAACGCGUGGGGAUCUACCAUAGGGUGCGGAAUAACUCAGAGAAAUUUGAGCUAAUACCGCAUAAUGUCUUCGGACCAAAGAUUUAUCGCCCUUUGAUGAACCCGCGUAGGAUUAGCUUGUUGGUGAGGUAAAGGCUCACCAAGGCGACGAUCUUUAGCUGGUCUGAGAGGAUGAUCAGCCACACUGGGACUGAGACACGGCCCAGACUCCUACGGGAGGCAGCAGUGGGGAAUAUUGGACAAUGGGCGAAAGCCUGAUCCAGCAAUGCCGCGUGAGUGAUGAAGGCCUUAGGGUUGUAAAGCUCUUUUACCAGGGAUGAUAAUGACAGUACCUGGAGAAUAAGCUCCGGCUAACUCCGUGCCAGCAGCCGCGGUAAUACGGAGGGAGCUAGCGUUGUUCGGAAUUACUGGGCGUAAAGCGCGCGUAGGCGGUUACUCAAGUCAGAGGUGAAAGCCCGGAGCUCAACUCCGGAACUGCCUUUGAAACUAGGUGACUAGAAUCUUGGAGAGGCGAGUGGAAUUCCGAGUGUAGAGGUGAAAUUCGUAGAUAUUCGGAAGAACACCAGUGGCGAAGGCGACUCGCUGGACAAGUAUUGACGCUGAGGUGCGAAAGCGUGGGGAGCAACAGGAUUAGAUACCCUGGUAGUCCACGCCGUAAACGAUGAUAACUAGCUGCUAGGG
rnacentral:rRNA from 1 species